rnacentral:rRNA from 1 species
UACGAAGGGGGCUAGCGUUGCUCGGAAUCACUGGGCGUAAAGCGCACGUAGGCGGCUUUCUAAGUCAGGGGUGAAAUCCUGGAGCUCAACUCCAGAACUGCCUUUGAUACUGGAGAGCUUGAGUCCGGAAGAGGUGAGUGGAACUCCGAGCGUAGAGGUGAAAUUCGUAGAUAUUCGGAAGAACACCAGUGGCGAAGGCGGCUCACUGGUCCGGUACUGACGCUGAGGUGCGAAAGCGUGGGGAGCAAACAGG